GUCCUUUUGAAUUUUAUUUAAGGUCUAGUCUGCCCACUGAAUUAAUAUUUUAAAUGGCCGCAGUAUUUUGACUGUGCAAAGGUAGCAUAAUCAUUAGUUUUUUAAUUAAAAGCUUGUAUGAAAGGCUGGACGAGGUAAAAUCUGUCUCUAUUUAAAUUAUAAUAGAAUUUAACUUUUAAGUUAAAAGGCUUAAAUAUUAUUAAAAGACGAGAAGACCCUAUAGAGCUUUAUAAUUUAUUAAAUAAAAUUAAUUUAGAAAUAUUUAUGUUUUAUUUAAUUAAAUUAUUUUAUUGGGGUAAUAGAAAGAUUGAAUUAAUUCUUUUUUAUAAUAAACAUUAAUUUAUGAAUAUUAAAUGAUCCAAUUUUAUUGAUUAUAAGAUUAAGUUACCUUAGGGAUAACAGCGUAAUUUUUUUAGAGAGUUCAUAUCGAUAAAAAAGUUUGCGACCUCGAUGUUGGAUUAAAGAUUAUUUUAGGUGUAGAAGCUUAAUAAAUUUGGUCUGUUCGACCAUUAAAUCUUUAC
rnacentral:rRNA from 1 species